rnacentral:rRNA from 1 species
AACUAUGUGCCAGCAGCUGCGGUAAUACAUAGGUCGCGAGCGUUAUUCGGAUUUAUUGGGCGUAAAGCAAGCGCAGGCGGAUGGCUAAGUUCUAUGUUAAAAGCGGCUGCUCAACAGUCGUUUGCAUAGAAUACUAGCCGUCUAGAAUAUGGUAGGAAGUUUUGGAAUUAAAUAUGGAGCGGUGGAAUGUGUAGAUAUAUUUAAGAACACCAGAGGCGAAGGCGAAAACUUAGGCCAUUAUUGACGCUUAGGCUUGAAAGUGUGGGUAGCAAAUGGGAUUAGAUACCCCAGUAGUCCACACCGUAAACGAUGGGUAUUGGGUGUCGGGGCUUGAGCCUCGGUGCUGUAGCUUACGUGUUAAAUACCCCGCCUGGGUAGUACAUAUGCAAAUAUGAAACUCAAAGGAAUUGACGGGGACCUGAACAAGUGGUGGAACAUGUUGCUUAAUUCGAUAAUACACGAAAAACCUUACCAAGGUUUGACAUCCCUCGCAAACCCAUAGAAAUAUGGCGGAGGUUAUCGAGGUGACAGGUGGUGCAUGGUUGUCGUCAGCUCGUGUCAUGAGAUGUUUGGUUAAGUCCCGCAACGAGCGCAACCCUACUCUUUAGUUACUUUUCUAAAGAGACUGAACAGUAAUGUAUAGGAAGGUUGGGAUCACGUCAAAUCAUCAUGCCCCUUAUGCCUUGGGCCGCAAACGUGUUACAAUGGCGAGUACAAUGUGUCGCAAUCUAGCGAUAGUGAGCUAAUCACUAAAACUCGUCUCAGUCCGGAUAAAAGGCUGCAAUUCGCCUUUUUGAAGUUGGAAUCACUAGUAAUCCCGUGUCAGCUAUAUCGGGGUGAAUACGUUCCCAGGUCUUGUACACA